GUAUAAGUUUGACAGCACAUAGGCAAAUAUUAGAAUGAUACAAAGUUCAUCAUGGCCCUUGCCCAAAGAUAAUAUGGAAAUUUGUGAAGUAUUCAAUACUUUU
rnacentral:snRNA from 1 species